rnacentral:rRNA from 1 species
UACGGGGGGGGCAAGCGUUGUUCGGAAUUACUGGGCGUAAAGGGCGCGUAGGCGGCCUGCUAAGUCGGACGUGAAAUCCCUCGGCUCAACCGGGGAACUGCGUCCGAUACUGGCGAGGCUUGAAUCCGGGAGAGGGAUGUGGAAUUCCAGGUGUAGCGGUGAAAUACGUAGAUAUCUGGAGGAACACCCGUGGCGAAGGCGGCUCUCUGGUACGUGACUGACGCUGAGACGCGAAAGCGUGGGGAGCAAACAGG